GACAGAGGGUGCAAACGUUGCUCGGAAUUACUGGGCGUAAAGCGCGUGUAGGUGGCCACGCAAGUCAGGUGUGAAAGCCCAGGGCUCAACCCUGGAAGUGCACAUGAUACUACGUGGCUGGAGUACUGAAGAGGAGAGCGGAAUUCCCGGUGUAGUGGUGGAAUGCGUAGAUAUCGGGAGGAACACCAGUGGCGAAGGCGGUUGCCUGGGGCUGUGCUGACGCUGAUGCGCGAAAGCGUGGGGAGCGAUCCGG
rnacentral:rRNA from 1 species